rnacentral:rRNA from 1 species
CGCUUCUUUUUCCACCGGAGCUUGCUCCACCGGAAAAAGAGGAGUGGCGAACGGGUGAGUAACACGUGGGUAACCUGCCCAUCAGAAGGGGAUAACACUUGGAAACAGGUGCUAAUACCGUAUAACAAUCAAAACCGCAUGGUUUUGAUUUGAAAGGCGCUUUCGGGUGUCGCUGAUGGAUGGACCCGCGGUGCAUUAGCUAGUUGGUGAGGUAACGGCUCACCAAGGCCACGAUGCAUAGCCGACCUGAGAGGGUGAUCGGCCACAUUGGGACUGAGACACGGCCCAAACUCCUACGGGAGGCAGCAGUAGGGAAUCUUCGGCAAUGGACGAAAGUCUGACCGAGCAACGCCGCGUGAGUGAAGAAGGUUUUCGGAUCGUAAAACUCUGUUGUUAGAGAAGAACAAGGAUGAGAGUAACUGUUCAUCCCUUGACGGUAUCUAACCAGAAAGCCACGGCUAACUACGUGCCAGCAGCCGCGGUAAUACGUAGGUGGCAAGCGUUGUCCGGAUUUAUUGGGCGUAAAGCGAGCGCAGGCGGUUUCUUAAGUCUGAUGUGAAAGCCCCCGGCUCAACCGGGGAGGGUCAUUGGAAACUGGGAGACUUGAGUGCAGAAGAGGAGAGUGGAAUUCCAUGUGUAGCGGUGAAAUGCGUAGAUAUAUGGAGGAACACCAGUGGCGAAGGCGGCUCUCUGGUCUGUAACUGACGCUGAGGCUCGAAAGCGUGGGGAGCAAACAGGAUUAGAUACCCUGGUAGUCCACGCCGUAAACGAUGAGUGCUAAGUGUUGGAGGGUUUCCGCCCUUCAGUGCUGCAGCUAAC